UCAUUUGCCCGCCGUCGCCGAGCCAUUCCGAGCCGUGACAAGCCGUGCCGAACCGUGCCGUUUCGCCGCAAUGAUGCCUUGCAGGACCCUGCGCAAAUCUGCACCACCCGCCGCAGCGGUGCGGGUGUGAGCGCUGUGCCUGUGCUUUGCAGAGCGGGACGCGGUGGCGGAGUGCGCGCUGGAGCUGCGCAGGAUCGGCGACAAGGCGGACCUGCGACAGAGGAUCCUGAACCUCAUCGCAAAGCUGUUCUGCCCCAAAACGUGAGCCCCCCACUCUCGGCGGGGCACAGGAAGAGAGGGAAGACCUUGGCUUUGCAGAUCUGGAACGAGAGACUUCGCUUAUACUGGGGGAUGGAGAAAGCUCUUUGCAUCGCGUUUUGCUACCCGGAGCCACCGGAGGAUGGCUGUCGCAACAUGAUUUCUUUGGAUAGUGUUACAGCAUCAUCGGCCUAUGGAUGCCAGGCUGGAAGGAAGCUAGCGCUGGGCAGAGCCCCUAGGGCCGGGGGGCCGCGGGGCAGGAUGCAGCCGGGCACAACCUGUCGUGGCAUCCUUCAGUCCCCGCAGCUACGUCUCACCUUCGGGAACAAUCCAAAACCAUGAUAAUAAUUAAAGAAAAGUCAGCAUCUUGGAACGCGGGACCGUCUGUCACGAGGUGAAAGGCAGCGUUCAGGUUCUGACUGUUCUCGUUUCCUAAAGCUCGGAUUCUGCUGGACGGGGGGGGGCGGGUGUGUGUGGUGAUGGGGAUGUCUCAGUCGUUAAUUAAACCACUGUCUUUAUUGAAAGGUUAUUUGCUGUUAAAAAGUUGUUUCACAGACUAAAAACUACAAUUCUAUGAAUUAACAUGAUAUUGUGUAAUUCUAGUCUAUAUUAUAUAUAUAUGUACAUAUUUAUAUUUAUAUAUAUAUAAUAUAUAUUUAUGCAAAUAUGUGUACCCUGCUUGCAUGAAAGGAGUAUUUCACAGAACUAUCAAUUGAAUGCUACUUUUUUACUCUCAAAAAACAGUAUGGAAAAGUGUUCAAAACAUGACAAAAAUAUAUAUAUCUAUAUUAACUAGAAGAAAACAUAAUGUUUUCUGAUCGUAAAAGAAAUACCCCGUGCAUCGCAGAAGGGAACAUACUUUAGUAUAUCGUUAAAUAUGACGUAUGAAUAGAUAUUAUACAAAUACAGAUAUUGAGGUAUUUGAGUUUAGGGGAAGGAAUUCUUUCAACAUCAUAAAGAAUUUCUUGAGAACAAUACGAUACCACUCUGUAUUUCUAUAAGUAACAAUAUAGCUCUUAGAAAAAGAAAAAAAAAAGUAGAUCUUAAAGCUGAAUCUGAGUUUUCUUAUGUACAUUAUUUUUUCAAAAAAGGCAGCUAUGUCUCUUUGAAGAAAUAAUCUCAAUAGAACUGAAUGUUACAGUCAGUACAGGAAAGUAUCCUCGGGUUUUUAAAUGUUCAGUGAUACUUACAAGCAGAGGGUCUUCCCCUGUACUUCACUUCCAUUUCAUUUCAUGGUAUCCUCAUCUAAGUUCCGGAACGAUGAAGCUGCUGUAGUACACCCGGUGAAUGGUGAUGUGUUACGCCUAUCUCACUGAGGGGUUCCCCUCGGCUGGCUUUGAAGGAGCUGAACUAAGCAUGCAGCUCGCUCUUGAGGCAAGUGCUAACCCUGCUUGUCUGUUCUUGUCAGACGUGACCCCAAACAGUGUUCUUUCUAGCAAGAAAAUGCUUGUAGCCGGUCACGUUUUGUUACUACCUCUUCAGUCAGUGUUCAGAAGUAUGCAAAAUAACCAUCUCCUUCCGGAGAUGCAGCAUGAAAAGAAACAUGAAGUCAUACUCUCGCUUCUCUUACUAACCUCUGCUUUGGUAUGUACGUUUGCACUGUGUAAGGGUGCAUAGCUGCACCUCCUGAAUUCUGGCUCAAAUUACAGUUCUUCCUGCCUUGUAGCGAUGUCUUGCUUGUAUUUAUAAUGUGUUUUUCAGCUAGCUCUUCUGAACCUGCCUUUGCAAAAUGGUCGUUGCAUAGCUUACAUAGCUUUGCUCGCUGUCACGACCAACCAUGUGUGGCUGUUACUCGCGGACAGUGAUUUCGCUGAGCAGAAGGGGGCUGACUUUGCCUUCUGCUUGGAGGACUUCACCCAGUUUCAUCAGUGUUACUGGGAGCUUUGCAGUUGGCUUGAGCCAGAGGUACAGUUUCUUCCUCCUCUAAGCCAGCCAACACUUUUCUAGUGAGAACGUAAUGUUUCGCACAUAGCUGUUAUUCACCUUAGUGUCGCAAAGUAGCAUGUUUUGCUGACAUGUACAUAAGUCGGUUUUCCCAGUAUUAAAAAGUAAAUGCAAAGAGUUUUUGUUAAACACCGGUGUCCAGGCAAAGCUGCUCACCAGGGGCAGCCCUGAGCAUGGUGGAAAUAGUGCAGCUGCAAGCCCUUGGCACAGGCAGCCCUGCAAACUUCAUCGGGGGCACUGCGCCUGUCUGGGCCCCCCAGAAACAUGCAGCAUUAGCAUUCACAGUAGUAGCUGAAAUGUAUUUGGGUAAGAGUGUUCUGUCUAAUGUAUGCUGCUUUGAAAUUUGAUAGAAAAGUAGGUGCAGGGCUCAUAGAGCCUGGCCAAUAAUUUAGGCUGUAGCACACAAAAAUGUUACCCCCCCCAAAAAAAGUAUUGUAUCCCCAUAAAUGCAUUGUCUUGGGGCCAUCUAAGUUAAGUACCAGUGCAGUGUUUUUCUGUCUAGAUCUGCAAGGACUAUUUGUUUUUUGUGAAAAGUUUUUAUGUUUCUCUGAAACUUGUCAAGAGUGCUAGCAUCCGCACUGAGCUCACGAAAAAGACCUAAAUUAAAGUGAUCAAUGCUAGUACAUGAGCAAAUACUCAUAGUUGUCUUCCCUAAGUAUCCUUUUAUUACUUCGCCAAACCAUCUGCUAUUGUAUGAUUAAAAAUAUGAGUUUGUUUUUCUUAAGGCCCAUUCUGGAUACGGGCUGGUUAUUUCACUGUAUGUCCUAUGCAUGUAUGUCUUGAGUUCUUGUUGAGAUAAUAAAUAUGAAAUGCUAGCAA